rnacentral:rRNA from 1 species
UACGUAGGGCGCAAGCGUUAUCCGGAAUUAUUGGGCGUAAAGAGCUCGUAGGCGGUUUGUCGCGUCUGCCGUGAAAGUCCGGGGCUCAACUCCGGAUCUGCGGUGGGUACGGGCAGACUAGAGUGAUGUAGGGGAGACUGGAAUUCCUGGUGUAGCGGUGAAAUGCGCAGAUAUCAGGAGGAACACCGGUGGCGAAGGCGGGUCUCUGGGCCGUAAUUGACGCUGAGGAGCGAAAGCGUGGGGAGCGAACAGG